UGUGGUUGAAGCUGCUGUGGUGACCUGGGGAGAGGCAGAAGCUGGCAGUGAGGGUGGACAGAGGCCGGCUGGGAGGAAGAGAAGAGAGACACAGCUUUGAGGGGUCCUGGAGGUCAGGAGACCAGCAGCGAGAAGCAGCGAGAAAUGUAACCAGCAAGAAGCCUCCCCAGCAUAGCCCACUCCACAUGCCGAGAUGCUCAAGAUAUUUCUGGUGCCUGGUCUGGGCUGGGGUCGGAACACCAGAGCAUUUGUCUCCACAAAUCACUGUCUGGGAGCCUCACAGAGCUGCUUGAGGGGGGCAGCAUAAUCUGGUGGGAAGAGGCACAGGCUCUGGGGCCAGCCCACCUGGGUUCUACUCCUACUCCAUCACUCACUCUCUCCCUGCCUCAGUUUACUCAUCUGCUCAAUGAAGAUAAUCACAGUACCUAACUAGUAAACUUGUUAAGAGAAUGAAGUUAAUUGUUAUAUGAAAUUUUUUGGCCUUUGUUCCGUGUUAUGAAAUGAGUGAAUAAAU
rnacentral:lncRNA from 1 species